GACGAACGCUGGCGGCGUGCUUAACACAUGCAAGUCGAACGGUAAGGCCUUUCGGGGUACCCGAGUGGCGAACGGGUGAGUAACACGUGGGUGAUCUGCCCUGCACUUCGGGAUAAGCCCGGGAAACUGGGUCUAAUACCGGAUAGGACUGCGCGGUGCAUGCCGUGUGGUGGAAAGAUUUAUCGGUGCAGGAUGGGCCCGCGGCCUAUCAGCUUGUUGGUGGGGUAAUGGCCUACCAAGGCGACGACGGGUAGCCGGCCUGAGAGGGCGACCGGCCACACUGGGACUGAGACACGGCCCAGACUCCUACGGGAGGCAGCAGUGGGGAAUAUUGCACAAUGGGCGCAAGCCUGAUGCAGCGACGCCGCGUGAGGGAUGACGGCCUUCGGGUUGUAAACCUCUUUCAGCAGGGACGAAGCGUGAGCGACGGUACCUGCAGAAGAAGCACCGGCCAACUACGUG
rnacentral:rRNA from 1 species